GGGUUUGGGGGAUUCUUCUAAGAGGGAAAAAAAAAAAAAAAAAAAAAAAAAAAAAGAGCAGGGGUUUGGGGGAUUUUUCUAAAAGGGGAAAAAAAAAAAAAAAAAGAAAUAAAACUCCUCGGAGAUAAACAGGAGGAAGGAGCGGGGCGUGGGCGGCGCUGCUGCUGCUGCUGCUGUGCGGCUGAACCGAGGAUUUGGGGGGGACUGGGGGGUCCUGGCAGCGAUUUUGGGGGUGAAAAGAGCAUCUGGGAGGAGGUGGAGGUGUCCCCUGGGUUUGGGGGACCCUCUGUGCCACACCCAGGGAUUUGGGGUGCAGCCCUGAUCCCCUUUUGGAGGGUGGGAGCUGGGACUUGUGGGAUCGCAAAUGUUGUGGGAUUUGUGGAGCUGGGAAAGGCUGGAUUUGGGGUCCGUGGGCAGCCACAGCCAGACUGGGGAUGGAUACUGGGAUUUAUGGGAUCAUUCCCUUGACCCUAUGGACCUGGGAUGGGGUUCUGGGGGUCUGUGGACAGCUGUAGCUGGGAUGGGAGUGGGCUCUGGGAUUUGUAGGAUCAUUCCCUGGAGUUGGGAGAGGCUGGGUUUGGGGUCCGUGGCAGGCGCAGCCGGGCUGGGGGCGGCCCGGGUGCCGCAGCGCUCGGGGGUUGCUGUCAGCCCGUGAGCGAUAAUCAGCGAUGAUCAAAGCGGCUCCUUCCCGACAGCUCUGCAUGCGGAUGCUUGGAAAUCUCCGGGCUGCGGGCGAGGAAAACAACCCCCGCUGCCGGCUGAGCUGCUCCCGGGAUUUUGGGGGGCUGGGAGGCGGUGUCACCGUGGGCAGAGCUCUGGGGUGGCAGGGCUCCACGGGGCAUUCCUGCUGAACCGCUCUUCCGACCGUGGGCAGAGCUCUGGGGUGGCAGGGCUCCACGGGCCGAGUCAAAAAGAGGGAUUUGAGGAGCUGGAGGAGGGGGCGAUGGGGCAGCGGCCAAGCCAGCACAGCUCGGGUUUGGCCCCACGGCCGGGUCACCUCUGUCCCUGUCACGGGUGGGGUUAUCGCAGCAGGCAGAGGCGGGCAGAGCUCAACUCCUCAUCCCGUUCCCAUUCCCAUUCCCAUUCCCAUUCCCAUUCCCAUUCCCAUUCCCAUUCCCAUUCCCAUUCCCAUUCCCAUUCCCAUUCCCAUUCCCAUUCCCAUUCCCAUUCCCAUUCCCAUUCCCAUUCCC
rnacentral:lncRNA from 12 species